GGAGAGGUGUCCGAGAGGCCGAAGGAGCACGCUUGGAAAGCGUGUGUGCGGCAACGUACCGUGGGUUCGAAUCCCACCCUCUCCGCCA
rnacentral:tRNA from 1 species